rnacentral:lncRNA from 1 species
GUUCCUUCCGGGCUUAUGGACCCGUGAAAGCAUUUUGGGCCCCCACUUAUCGUAUUCUCCCAGGCCCUUGGGGUGGUUGCUUGUGGGACUGGGAAAUUAAGCCCCCUGGCGGUCCUAACCGCUUCUUAAUCGGUGCCCCAGCUAUAACCCCUGACCUUUGGAUAGGUCUAGGUGAUCUCUGGACCUAUUGGCCCUUACAGCCUCCACAACUACAAUGCUUUAGAAAACUACACCCCGGAGAGGUCGUAACUGUCCAUCACCGGGUAUGUUGGGAGGGUCUUGGCAGUCUGCAAGACUUAGCCUCCCAUACCCUUUUGUCCGUCAAUAGCAGUUGUGUUCAUGUCAAUUCAUCAGUCAUACAUGAUGUGGCCUUUAACCUCCACACUAGCUCAGGUACUCAUAACAUCUACUGGCCAGCAGAAAAGGAUUAUCAGGUUUAUUUGAAAUUUCAGGUUCCUUUCGACCGGACCUCUGUUGUCCCUGACCGAUUCCACUCAUUGUUAUCUCUCCUACCAGACAUUCAAUCUAUUUCGCAAUUGCAAACUCAAAUUCAUUAUUUAGAAACUGUUUAUCAGGAAGCUAUGAACGCCCUCCAAACUGUUCACUUAGUAUCUUCCCUCUGUGUUAAAAGCGACAUUCUCUGCCAAUUCACAAAAAGUGUUCAGUCACCCCAUCACCCCUGGUACGUAUGGCUCCUCCUUGGCAUUAGCACGUUUACUGUUGUGUGUAUCUGCUGCUGGUGUUGCUGUUGUUGCUGGUCACAUUGCACAUGCCCUUGUGCAACUUCCCGUUCCUAUACCCCACCACAGUUAGUACCCCUUAACCCAUUAAUGGAAUCGACUUUAGCCAAUGAGGAUCGCCUGCAUUAUGCCACGCUAAAUGCUUCCUUAAAAGAAGCCACCUAUGCCAGCAUUCCAAACUUAAAGAACCCUCAUCCGGAGAUCCAGGACUUAAUGGAUAUCCAGAGUGAGGAGUUUGAUGCCAUGUAAGACAAAGGCAUCAAAAAGGAGGGAGUUGAUAGGGAAAUUCCCCCGACCCCACCUUACCCAAGGCCCCAGGCUUUUUUCUGAAAAUAAAGUAAGAGUAGGCCCUUAGCUAGAAGCA